ensembl:lncRNA
GAUUUAUCAAAAACUUGAAUUUACAUGAAGAUUCUUGGAAAUAAUAACAUAAGACAAGCUGUGGCAGCCGUGUCAAGAGUUAUUUGAAAAGAUUGAGACGUAAUGACUUUGAGAAGUAAUUCAAUUAAUCAAAAAGCACAUAAAGCUUUAAAAGUACGCCUAUUGCAAAACGAUGCUCUGUCGUCUUAGAAAAAUGCACGUUAAAUUCAUUCAAGUCCGGAGUGUUCAAACACUUCCUGAGGAUCUCUUUGAGCUAAGGCCUGAGCCUUGGAAAACAGCCACACUCAGGAACUGGUGGAGGAAGAGGAGCCAUCAAGGAAGCGGCCAUAGAAACCAUAGAAAGUGUCAAGAUGGUGACGAACGUCAAAUGCAGUAGAACGGUUAAGUUGGAUGAAAAGAAAAAGCUAUUGAUUUUGGCAAUAAAGAUGUCUCUACUGAUCUUUGUAAGCAGUUAAUGAGAUUAUUUGGGUAAAAGAUAGGUCCAGAGCACAGGAGAAGAGGCCGUGGAGACAGCAAGCGUAGACGAUUAAGUUUGGUGAAGAGAGGAAAGAUGGGCAGAUGCGCGACUGAGUCAUCAUGAGGAAAUUGUUGGAAAAGUUUCUCUGAUUAUAAAAGUAUGUCACUUUGAUAAAUACUAAGAAAAUAAGAGUAUAAAAGAAUUUAAAUGACCUCUAAGCUACCCAGAGAUAACCAUUGUUUCCUUUGAAAAUGCGUAACAAAAUUGGAGUUGAAGUUUAAAAACUGCAUGAUAUACUGUCAUGUAACGUGAUUCUUACCAUUUUUUAUUGUGUAUUUAAGAUACAGUUUUUGGUGUCAAUGUGUUGAAUAAGGGGUCUCUAUUUCCUUCAACCUUUCCCCACUCCCCACUUUGAAAUCCCUUGCUUCUGUUAGAAAUCCACAUUAAGCUACAUACUAGAAGUGUGAUUUUCAUCAUCCAUAUCAAGGAGAUAACCAACAGUAGUGACCCUCAUAGGAUUGUUGUGAGGAUUAAAAUGUAAGCAUUUAGCAUAGUACCUAGCUUAUAGUAGAGACUCAAUCCCCCCCGCCCCACCCCCACCACACACUUGUUAUUAACUCUGGAGAUUGCAUUUUUCUGUAGUGAAGGGACCAGUGUUUUGGCAUUUCCAUUGUUUGACAAUGGCUCAUACCUUGAUUUUCUCCAGAAUGAGGGGGAAGUUUCAUUUUUAAUGCAAAAAUGUGAAAAGAGAACUAUAGAAUCUAAAUUGAUACAGUGGACAAUGUGUCUGCAGUGACUGCCCCAUCAGAAAGGAUGGAAUAAGAAAAGAACGAAGCACAAGAAAAUGUCUUUUCUUAAAGAAGUUACACCCUCAUGUAGAAUUCUAUCUUAUUUUAACAUUUUUAGGAACCAGCCAAAGAAUCUUUAGGUUCAUUUCUAUUGAAAGAUAAAAUUUGGCGUGUAGUGACUCCAACCUUAAGUUGGAAAAGGCCACCAGAGCAAUGCAACUUCUCCAAAAAAUGGCUAAGCCUCCACUCAAUAGGCAACAGGGAAAUAGAGGAAAUGUUAGAGUAGAUAACUUUUAGAAUAGCACCCCAACUUACGUCUGUUUUCUGGAUACUACUUCCUGCCACCUUCAGGGACAAGCUGUUUAGAUGAUCGGACAAGGACUGGACAUCUGGUCAAAUUUGAGCCAAUUAGAUGAUUUCUCCCAAGAAUUUGGAACUGGAAAGUGAUGUCUUCGGAGGUUGCAUUUGGAACAUGCAUGUGAAGCAGAAAAUAAAGCAAUGGUGAGAGAGUGUACAACCUCAGAAGAAAAAGAUGAGAACAGCUGCCUUGAUUGUUGAUAAUUUUGCAGUUUUUGUUCCAAUGUUUUGUGCUUGUCUGCAUUUCCUGCUCCUGGGUUCCAUAAGAUGCCCUUAAAACCUUACAGAGAGACCCCCCACUUCCACCUUUAGUUUUUUAAAUUUUGAGGCUCUUCCUUGCUACCAAAUAAUGCCAAAUAAAACCAGCUGAGGUACAAUUACUUUUUGCAUAAAAUACAGUGGCUUGACAUAGUUGAUGACUUGGUUCUGUAGAAAAUAUAAAGUCACGGUUGGUGCCAGAUGAGUCAGGUUUAGAUGAGGGAGAACUUAGAAUGGAGCCUGAAUGAGUCAGAAAGGGUGAGCCUUGAAGUAAAAUGUGCCCAAGAGAACGGAUUAAAAGGCCUAGAAGUUCAUCUGCAGUUUGAGGACACCGUUAUCAAAGGACUGGGUCUAUGUGUCUGUGUUUGGUCUUAAGGAAUAUUGACUUUCUGCCAACAUAAUAGUGUUUAUAGCUUUGUAGUUAAUAUCACACUACACAGUGUUCCCUUUAUAUUUUCAUCAUGUAUUGGGACUUGGAUUCAAGUCCUAUCUUUUAAUUGUGUUAACCCAAUUACUUAGUCUUACUCACACUCUGACGCUUUAAAAAUUCUUAGUUAAUUCCAUCUUUCCCAUUUUUAUCCUUGGUAACUUUCUGUGGCUUU